UCCCCGUCGCUCUCGGCCCCCACUGCGUAUUGAAGCCCUUCGGGUGGGAAGAGGGGACUGGCGUAAUUUAAGAAGAAACGACUUGACUAACCCUGUCCCCAGCCAGUGUAACGUGGCCCGUGGUUGUGCUCAGUAAGGGCAGCCGGACUGGACCAUUCCCUCCAGGAACACCAGGCACAUGAUAUAGGUGCAUCAGGCACUAGAGGUGUAGUCGUAGCACGUGCUGGAGUGUAACGUUGCAUCAGAGUGGGAUAGAAACAUAGACUCGUUUAGGUUGGAAAAGACCUCUAAGAUCAUCAAGUCCAACCAUUAACCCAGGACUGCCAAGUCCACCACUAAACCUGAAGAUGUCUAGUAAAAGCUGAAAGGUUUGAAAUGCCAGUUGACAUGAAAAUUUUAGCUGUUUCAUUUGUGCUUCUUGUGUCUUCCUAAGCUAGGUUUGUUCAUGCUUAAACAGAGGUUUGGAUUAACUGGAUUAACAGGAACCACCUAUGUGUCACUGUUUGGGAUAAAUACAGUGGAUUUCUUUUUUGGGGGCUGCAGAAAAAAAUGGCAUAUUGGCCCUUCCAGCCACAUGUGGGAGAGAGUUGUGGAUUUCAGAGCAGAAAGCCUUUCUGUCAAUGAGCUCCUGAAAUAGGGAGGGUGCUCUUUGCUAUCUGGCAUCAAACAUGUUUUGAAAGUGUUGUUUGCUCAUUGUUAUUGGUGCCAGCCCAGAUCUCUGUUUGCCAGUGCUGGUGGUUUGGCAUCACUGAUCUAGAGUGAGAUCAAACAAGGGGGAAUAUAGAGCCAGAGCCUCGGUUUAUUUACCCUAGUGUGAGUGAAUGGAGAGAUGCCAAUGUUAAAUGUAGUUCUUCUUCUGAAGGUGAAGUCCAGGGUUAGAAGUCAGUUACUUUUGGAUUUCCUUCAUGGCUGAAAUUUGUUAACAAAACUUGAUUACUGCCGUGUGCUGCCAACGGCAAAUGACCUUCAUCCCAGCAUUUUUCCACGGUGAGCUUUGCCUGGAAUUGGAGAAAAAGAUAAACUGAAAUGAACAGCUCACUGUGACUGUGCAGCUUGAGUCACUUGAACCACGUCAGAUGACAAACUAUUCUUAGUGGUCCUUCCGUGCAGUCAACUUAUCUUCCAACGAGGAAAGAAACCCUUUUUCUCAGGUGCAUGCUUCACCUUUCACCAGGAGAUUUGCUUGGCCUCUUUUGCUCCUCUGAUGCACUUGUUCCCUCAUGUUUUUCAUGUAUUCUCUGUUCCAGUAACAGUGCUGGAUCUCACAGAAUGAAGACAGUUAGGCAAACAAGCUCCUAAGGGAAUGAGGGGGAUUACUAAAGAGAAGGAAUUUGACACGAUUGAAAAUAACAGAUGAAAAUGGAAGGAUUCCCUGCAGUCGAUCAGUUCUGCCCUGCACAGCAGGCAUCACACAGUAAGAAUUACUACAGAGAUUUCAAGGAAGAUUUGUACAAAGUAGAGGAAAUACAAUGAGGAAAUAUAAAACCUCCACUGUGUAAGUCAACUUUUAUUUGUUUGUGUUUUUGCAAAACUGAACUAUGAAUUUAUCUUCAGUGUCUUGAGUGAACUCCACACUUCAUGCUUCUGUAUCCAACCAACUCAAAAUAACCAAAUAACUUCAGAAAAGGAAAAAAUAAGUCAACCAAGAAACAACAACUCUCUUUGGUUUGACUGAUCUGAGCCUUUUA